rnacentral:tRNA from 1 species
GCCGCCUUAGCUCAACUGGUAGAGCGCGUGAUUUGUAAUCUCGAGGUUGCGGGUUCGAGUCCCGCAGGCGGCU